CGACUCUGCCAUUUCCCUCCAGGGAAAACUUGACAUGCCUGAGAUCCCUGCUUCCUUGCCUUUAUUGUGCUUGGCAAAACUGGCCUUGUGUUCACACAGUGAGGUGGAAAGGACAUGGUGUUUUCCUGAGAUACCGGCAGCCAGACAUAAGAACGCACAUGAGAUUAAAAGCAGCUGUCCAGAAAGUUCCUGAGGACAACCUGCUUCAAAACUUCAGACUGAGAUUGUGAGGGGUUCUUCUGACCAGCACAUGCCCAGUUCUUCUAAGAUUUACAUAUGUCCAUUAACUGGAAACACAAGACAAAACGAAGGGUGCCUCUGGGAUUAAAGGACAACAUGUAACAAGGUCUCCAAUUUGAAGCCAACAAGCCUCAGAAUGCUGCACCUAAAGAAAAAAGUUCAGCGGCCAAGUGUUUCAAAUGCACACACAAAUAUGAAAGAAGGAAGUAGCAAGAGAGAGAAAGAGAAGCGAAACCAAGGACCCUACCCCAUGUUGUACUGCACGUCUAAAGUCCA